rnacentral:rRNA from 1 species
CAGUCGCCGCGGGAAUACAGAGGGUGCGAGCGUUAAUCGGAUUUACUGGGCGUAAAGCGUGCGUAGGCGGCUUUUUAAGUCGGAUGUGAAAUCCCUGAGCUUAACUUAGGAAUUGCAUUCGAUACUGGGAAGCUUGAGUAUGGGAGAGGAUGGUAGAAUUCCAGGUGUAGCGGUGAAAUGCGUAGAGAUCUGGAGGAAUACCGAUGGCGAAGGCAGCCAUCUGGCCUAAUACUGACGCUGAGGUACGAAAGCAUGGGGAGCAAACAGGAUUAGAUACCCGCGUAGUCCCUGUCUCUUAUAC